rnacentral:rRNA from 1 species
UACGUAGGUGACAAGCGUUGUCCGGAUUUACUGGGCGUAAAGGGCGCGUAGGCGGUCAGCACAAGUCAGUUGUGAAAUCUCCGGGCUUAACUCGGAAAGGUCAACUGAUACUGUGCGACUAGAGCACAGUAGAGGCAGGUGGAAUUCCCGGUGUAGCGGUGGAAUGCGUAGAGAUCGGGAAGAACAUCAGUGGCGAAGGCGGCCUGCUGGGCUGUUGCUGACGCUGAGUUGCGAAAGUGUGGGGAGCAAACGGG